CUGCAUUACAUAAAAAGAUACAUGUUAAAGAGUUUUUUUACUGGCAAGCAUUCUUGCUAUCAUUAUGCUUGUUGAAGCAAAGGUUAUGACCACACUGUAAAUUAUCAUUUAUGCAUGAGGGAAAUACUAAAAUACACUUCUUUUUUUGUCCUAGUGGUUUUACUAUUUUAUGUAUUUUUGGUCAAACAAAUAUUGGCAGUUCAUUGUUCGCAUUAUAUGCUGAAUCGGGACACAUAAUUGACACAUUCCAAUUUAUUGCUUUCUAUUGCAUGGGUUCUUUGUAUUCCUUUGAGGGGUUUGAGUGGUUGAAAUAUCAUCCACAGCAAGAUCUGAAAUCUAAUUACCAAAUUGAUUCUUCAGACCAUCUAAUGAUGUAAUACAUGUGAACUUUUCUUAUAUAAGAAAAAAAGGUGCUGCAUCAUAGUUUUUCACUAUAUUAUCUGCAAAGCUAAACUCAGGGACAGUUUUAGUACAAGUCUAGAAACCUCAUUUUUCAGAGCUUAUUCUGUCACAAGGGAAAAUGUUCAGGUUUCCAUAAUUGAAUGAAUAGUCUACAGUGACAUUCCCUUGCUAUUGAACGAAGCUCUGCUAGUGCUUUAUCAGAGUGUGAUGGUUAUCAUAAAACUGCAUAAGUCACUUCGGUGUUGCCGUUGAACUGCAUUACAUGUCUCCACUCAUUACCAUAACAUCAACACCCUUCUUAUAACUCUGCUGCAAACAGGGUAUAGGACAUCCCUCCCCUUCUGCAUGUGAGGUCAAAGGGACCUUCCAGAAAAUUUGAAAAUUGUAAUUGUCCUUUUUUUUCUAGGUAUCUUUGCAAUUAAGUUUCUAAUGGGGUAUUUCAGGGAAGGGAUUCCUCCAGGUCUAGAUAUACUCCUAACCUCUGUCAAAACUAAUAGAAGUUUGCCAGGAGGGGAGGUUGACACUAAUGAAGUCCCACCAAAUCAGGAUUAGGUCCAGUUUGUAAGUUCCUGAUUAAGUGUUAUACCAUAUAUACUAACAGUGACAGUUCAACCCACUGGGAUCAUAAACCUAGAACCCUUGAUGCCACACCUAACAAUGAAGCGACUAACUUGCUAGUCACACGAGGUGGUGUAAAAGCAAGCAGCUGUCCAGAUCCAGUAGCUGCAAUGCAGUACAAGGCCUCCCAAAAUUUUAAAAAAAAUAAAAAUCCAGUGGCUGCAGCAGUCUGACGGCGUGGUUUCACCGGAGAAAAUGGCUGGAGAACAAUCAUUAGAAAAGGGCCCGCAGAAAGAAAUACUAUUUAUUGCAGCUGCAAGAUGGGGCCCUCCAAUGUGAUUCUCCAGAUGCUGCCUAAUGUUGACCCCACCCUUUUUUUCUCCCCUCUUUUCAGGUUGGAAAGGCACCAAAAAAAAGAGCAAAAUUAUUAUACAACAUGCAAAAGAUUGAGGAAACUACUGUUGGGAUUGCGAUGUCUGUCAAUAUAUAACACACACUUCUCCAUUGGAUUUGUGAAUCCUGCAUGGAACUAAAGCAGGUACAGUCAGACAGAUGUUGUAGUUUAUAGGUUUGGUAUUUCUUAAAUCUUGUUUGACAAAUGGUGGAUUUUUCCCGUAUUUAUGUAAUGUUAUACUUUCUUUUAGGCCUAUCUGAAAUGGACACAAAAGGACAUAGGUAACCGGGGGAAGAGAGGAGCAGAAUCUAGCAGAUGCACCAUCAGAAUUCAACUCAUCACUAAUCAUUUCAUUGACCUACCAAAAGAAAAUGAACGCAGCCUCCUAGAAUUCUUUACCAAAAAUCAGUAAUGUUUAAUUAGACCAAUCAAGUUUAUAAGCAUAACUAGUUUCAUAAACAAAAAAAAGCAAAAAACAGAGUCUUUGCAUGGAUCAUAUUGGCUGCAGCAGAAAGUGCCUACGAUAUUUAUAAACUUCUUCUUUUUGCCAUUCGAGAAAAUGUCGCCUAUACUGUACAACAGCUAGCUGCCAUUGAGUCAAUAAAAGUGAUGGCCGGUUAUACGCAGACGAGCACCAUAGAAAGUGGGGGCAAUGAUAGAUAUCCUGUCAGGUAAUGCUGGGCUAAACUAGAUUGGGAUGUUGGGUUAGUAGAAUACAAAAGGCACCGUGUAUGUGUGUGUAGUGGUGGACCAAAAUGUAUAUGAAGCUGCAGGGUUUACAUGGAGUUUUGCAUUAUGCAAUCUCAGUGGGCAGUGAACAUAUUUUUCAAGCUCGUGUUUGAAGAAAAUGCAUGCAUGGUCCUAACUUUUCCUCUUAUAACACGAGUGCACUCAAAAGGAAAAAAAAAAUGAAGCUCGAGUAGUCGUGCAAGGGAGUACCACUUUCCACACUGAUUGGAAACCUUGUGCUGUACCACCAUCUAAGCCAGGUAUGUACAAUUCUUGUGUAUUGAAGAGUAUAAGUUUAUAUAUCAUAUAUAUUUAGUAUUACACAGUUUUGAUGGACUUUGCAAAUAUGUAUAGAAAUAAAUACCAGCUCUAAGGCAUAAAUGUCAAUGCAGUGCUUCUCCAAAAAUUUUUAAAAAGAACAUUUGAUCGAAAUUCAUGAUGUGACAGUCAUGUAAUGGUUGUCGGUCAGAGGCCAUAGUGUCCCAUGUACAGUGGCGAGAAAAUGAUGAUUGGUUGUGUCGGUGGGGAUCCAUGGGAAUACACAAGCGCAACAACCGGUAUCCUGGACGUGAUUACGAGGAUGGCGACGACGCGAUGGAACUCUUUCAUCCAUCGUCUAAUCAUCACCAAACAUGUAGGGAGUACCAGAGAUCGUGAUGAUCCCGUCAGGUCCCGGUACAACGCUCUGCGAUUGGUGUGUGGACAAUCCUCCUGGUGUAUCAUGAUUGGCAGCUAGAUAGGGACGUAUGUAUAUAUGUACCGAUACUGUAUUGUAAUUUAUUAUGUACUGUAUAUAUAGUUUGUCCACAUGAUUGUCUGUCCAAGAGAGAGAGAAUUGAGUUGUUUGGAAUGUUUACAUUCCAUAAAGGAAGACAAAAUCAAACACA